rnacentral:ncRNA from 1 species
AGCUGGUUCCCUCCGAAGUUUCCCUCAGGAUAGCUGGAGCCCAUUACGAGUUCUAUCAGGUAAAGCCAAUGAUUAGAGGCAUUGGGGACGCAAGCUCCUCGACCUAUUCUCAAACUUUAAAUAGGUAGGAUGGCUCGGCUGCUUCGGUGAGCCGUGCCACGGAAUCGGGUGCUCCAAGUGGGCCAUUUUUGGUAAGCAGAACUGGCGAUGCGGGAUGAACCGGAAGCCGGGUUACG